AGCGAACGCUGGCGGCAGGCCUAACACAUGCAAGUCGAACGAACCCUUCGGGGUUAGUGGCGGACGGGUGAGUAGCACGUGGGAACGUGCCUUUAGGUUCGGAAUAACUCAGGGAAACUUGUGCUAAUACCGAAUGUGCCCUUCGGGGGAAAGAUUUAUCGCCUUUAGAGCGGCCCGCGUCUGAUUAGCUAGUUGGUGAGGUAAAGGCUCACCAAGGCUACGAUCAGUAGCUGGUCUGAGAGGAUGACCAGCCACAUUGGGACUGAGACACGGCCCAAACUCCUACGGGAGGCAGCAGUGGGGAAUCUUGCGCAAUGGGCGAAAGCCUGACGCAGCCAUGCCGCGUGGGUGAUGAAGGUCUUAGGAUUGUAAAAUCCUUUCACCGGUGAAGAUAAUGACUGUAGCCGGAGAAGAAGCCCCGGCUAACUUCGUGCCAGCCGCCGCCGUAACAC
rnacentral:rRNA from 1 species